UGGGGAAUAUUGCACAAUGGGCGCAAGCCUGAUGCAGCCAUGCCGCGUGUAUGAAGAAGGCCUUCGGGUUGUAAAGUACUUUCAGCGGGGAGGAAGGGAGUAAGGUUAAUAACCUUGGCGAUUGACGUUACUCGCAGAAGAAGCACCGGCUAACUCCGUGCCAGCAGCCGCGGUAAUACGGAGGGUGCAAGCGUUAAUCGGAAUUACUGGGCGUAAAGCGCACGCAGGCGGUCUGUUAAGUCAGAUGUGAAAUCCCGGC
rnacentral:rRNA from 1 species